rnacentral:miRNA from 1 species
UCUUACGGAUGAGCAAAGAAAGUGGUUU